UUCUGUUUGGUAAUGCCUCGUAACCCUAAUUCGACGAUAGAUACGGGUAAGGGGUGUUACACUGACAUGCUCUUAUUAGCAAAGAAAGAGAAAAGUAACAAUCAUAAAGCAAAGACAAUACACGUUCUCGAGCAAAUUGAAAAAAAAAAUUAAAGAUAACCAGAUCCUUUCCUCUUCUCUGCCCUAGGGACCUCUCCAUACCAGUACGAAAUCUCAUACUGCAAAUUAAAACGAUGGACCAAAUCAAAUAUGAGAUAAUCACUCCUCUGUUAGGGAAUGAAUAAGACCUUCUAGCUCCUCAAGACAUUGUUUCGUGACACUCAGCAGGAUGAUGGAUGUUCUACCUUUCUGUCUUCGCAACCUCAUGAACCAUGUCGAAGCUUCUUUAAUCCACCAGACAUCCCAUUUUUGCCGAAAUUCUUCCUUGAUCAGUAGGUGGGCUACUCGAUUUCCCCUCUCUUUAAAAAUGGUAUUUGGACCAAUAAGUGUUUGGAAGAAGUGGAAGUGAAUCUCUUCUCACAACAAAUUUAAGUCUUGGAGUCGACAUCAUUAGUAGGACUUCAACUGAAUAUCAUUCUGGCCCAAACAGAACUAAGUUAAGACUGUAAACUAAAUAACAACAACAACAACAACAACAACAACAACAACAACAAUAAUAAUUGUAACACCCCAAACCCGACCUAGACGUUAUGGCCAGAUUUGGAGAUGUUACUGCAAGUUUAUUCUAAAACCCAAAAUUCAUUGAUUUUGAAAAGGCGUUAUUAGCUUUUGUUACACAAAAAUCCGGUUUAUUUGAAAACACAACCUUAUUUUUUGUUUUGUGACACGUUGUUUGUUUACAUUUUCCAAAAAUGUAUAGCUUUGCCGCGGAAGUUCUUAGAAAGUUAAAUUAUGGAAAAAAAAACUAGUUCGUUAUUUUGAAAUCCUUUGUUUUGCAGAAAAAUAAACAUUGUCGAUAAAACGUUUAAAUGGAUCAUGCGGAAAUCGAAAUUAAAGUCCAAAACCGAAACAAUCCAAAAUGUCCAAAUAGUACAAAAUUUAGAAAACUCUCAAACCCAAAUUUAAAUAAAUUAAAUUUACAAAAUAUUGUUAUGACCGAGCUCUCAUCGCACUGACCCGCCUAAGUCUGAGGGUUACCUGAAAGUGAUAGACAAAUAGAAAGUGAGUUUUUGAAACUUAGUGUGCAACAUAUAGUACAUAAAUCAAACAAAUGUAUUUAUAGGUAUAUAGAUCAGAAACAAAACUUAUCAAAACAUAACAGAUGCAGAAACAAAUAAUCCUACCCUUAUCUGCUACACACCAUUUCUGACCAUCCCAACACACCAUAUAAGGUAUUAUACCCAUCCAGCCUUACACAUCGCUUAGUGUCGGUUUGACACUUUUUAGAAUAUUUGCAGUAGAGUUGUAUUAGACAGUUUAUCACCGUUUACGAAAACAUAUAUAUGUGGCUGAACCACCAAAUACGGCAAGUUUAAUAUUGCCCGCACUUCCUUCAUAUAUCAAAUCCCAACCCAGAUGUAGAUGCAAUACUAACAGAUAUCAGAUAUGUUUACGAUGUAAAUGCUUACCAUGACAGAUACAGAACAUAUUUAACGUUUUUCAGGCUAAACAUGACAUAUUAUAGGUUUUACCUAACUCAUAUCACUUCAACAUACAUAUUUAUAUCCAAUUUUACAAUAACAGAUGAUCAGAAUUCCUGUUUCAGAGCUUAUUUAAUAGGAUACCGACCCUACAGAAGGCCUACGUUCGAUCCAAAUGAUGUUUACGACCUUAGGGGAAAAAAAUAGAAUUUUAGGCCCAUGUGGCUUGGCACACGACUUCACACACACCAGUGUGGCCCAUACGGCCCUAAUAGCCCAGACCGCACGGCCGUGUGAUGUCAAAUGUGCAAUUUUUCGGCUUUCGCUGUUUGCUAAUUUUCGUGUUUUUCAUUACACACAUAAUUCGAUUUCGAUACCAAAGCAACUACGAGACUCUCAGAACCUAAAAAUAGGAUUCAAUUGACUAGAUUAGCGAUGAUUCACGAAUAUAAAUUAAAUAAAUAUUGAACACAGUGCCCACAAUCGACCCCAAAACAUAUUCGAAUCCUUACCAAUGAACGAACAACAACCACGUGACUUUAGUUGUUGGAGGGACGCUAAUCAUCUCACAAUCUUCUCCUAAAAUGAUUUAAUUUAAUUAGAUAACACACAAUAGGGAUUUUCACUACAAUCUCGAAAUCUCAAUAAUCCCCAACACCUAACGAAGAAUUUUAGUAUAAGAACAGAAAAGACCAAUGAAACCUUAUCUUCACGGAUUGAAAACCAAAUAAAAAGAACCCUGAACAGAUUGUGAAUACUUGCAAAAUUAAAAGAUGGAACGCUAGGAUUGAAUGCACAAAAGAAAGGAAAGAAACAAGAACAAACGUGAAAGGCCCAUGGAGAAACAAAAUUGAACCAAAAAAAUUGAAACAAAUCGCAAUAGCAGGGAGAGGGAAAAAUAACGGUGUAAAGAAAAAAAAUGGGAAAAAAAA
rnacentral:lncRNA from 1 species